rnacentral:tRNA from 1 species
UCCCUGGUGGCUCAGAGGGUAGAGCAUCUGCCUGCAAUGUGGGAGGAUCCGGGUUUGAUCCCUGGAUCGGGAA